UACGUAGGGUGCAAGCGUUGUCCGGAAUUAUUGGGCGUAAAGAGCUCGGUAGGUGGCCUGUCGCGUCGGCUGUGAAAACUCGGGGCUCAACUCCGAGCUUGCAGUCGAUACGGGCAGGCUAGAGUUCGGCAGGGGAGACUGGAAUUCUCGGUGUAGCGGUGAAAUGCGUAGAUAUCAGGAGGAACACCGGUGGCGAAGGCGGGUCUCUGGGCCGAUACUGACGCUGAGGAGCGAAAGCAUGGGGAGCGAACAGG
rnacentral:rRNA from 1 species